CCUACGGGUGGCAGCAGUCGAGAAUCAUUCACAAUGGGGGAAACCCUGAUGGUGCGACGCCGCGUGGGGGAAUGAAGGUCUUCGGAUUGUAAACCCCUGUCAUGUGGGAGCAAAUUAAAAAGAUAGUACCACAAGAGGAAGAGACGGCUAACUCUGUGCCAGCAGCCGCGGUAAUACAGAGGUCUCAAGCGUUGUUCGGAAUCACUGGGCGUAAAGCGUGCGUAGGCUGUUUCGUAAGUCGUGUGUGAAAGGCCCGGGCUCAACCCGCGGACGGCAGAUGAUACUGCGAGACUAGAGUAAUGGAGGGGGAAGCGGAAUUCUCGGUGUAGCAGUGAAAUGCGUAGAUAUCGAGAGGAACACUCGUGGCGAAGGCGGGUUCCUGGACAUUAACUGACGCUGAGGCACGAAGGCCAGGGGAGCGAAAGGGAUUAGAUACCCCAGUAGUC
rnacentral:rRNA from 1 species